AGCUCAAAUUUGAAAUCUGACGUCUUGGGCGUUCGAGUUGUAAUUUGCAGAGGGUGUCUCGGGUGGAGCAUCGGUCCAAGUCCCUUGGAACAGGAUACCGCAGAGGGUGAGAGUCCCGUAUCCGGCCGAUCGUGUCCCCCGCUGUGAGACCCCUUCGACGAGUCGAGUUGUUUGGGAAUGCAGCUCAAAAUGGGUGGUAAAUUCCAUCUAAAGCUAAAUAUUGGCGAGAGACCGAUAGCGAACAAGUACCGUGAGGGAAAGAUGAAAAGCACUUUGGAAAGAGAGUUAAACAGUACGUGAAAUUGUUGAAAGGGAAACGAUUGAAGUCAGUCAUGCUCUUUGGUAUUUAUAUCAUUG
rnacentral:rRNA from 1 species